UUGCACAGCUUUUCUGGAGUUUCAGCCUGGCCUUCCAUGCUGUGCACAGUGAUAAUGUGCUGUGAGCUGGCAGAAUGUGCUCCUGCCUCCCCUGCUGAAGGUCACAAAAUAAGGAUCUGGGUGCUGCCCACAGGCCAUGAACCUUUCGUGAGCUGGGCAAAGCUGCAAGAAAACCUGCUGCCCUGGACAAGGAGCACACAUAAAAGUGAAAUCUGACACUUAGGCUGUUUUGUUCUCGACCUGGGGACAAGUCCUUAUCAGCAGAGAGGGUCAGCAAGACCUGGAACAUAUGCUUUCUGUCCUCCUCUUCUUUUUGAGGCACAGUGCCCCAGACUAGACCCAGUCCUCACAUCUCCAACCUGCCAAGAUCAUUUGAAGCUGCAAAGUUUUUCCUCUGAUGUGCUGAAGCACCUCUACCAGCUCCAUAUCACUGCCAGCGAGAGAGGCACCAUGUUUACAUUUUUUCCCAGUCUUCUGGUGCCUCACCUGCCCUCCAAGAGCUCUCAAGGAGAAGUGUUUGUAUUCCUGAGAUGGCGCCUCUAAGUAUGUACGAAGAAUUUUCUUCAACAUGGCUGACCUGAAGGCAUUCAGCCUUUCUAAACUUGUCCUUUCUGUGGCAGAAGGAAGGAGUGGCAUGCUCAGCAGUGGAGAUUUGUGGACACCCCCUCUUGCUUCCAGUGCUCAGCAGCCUUCAUUCUUUUUACAGCUUCACAUGCAGGUUCUCAUGCCCCAACUGAUGCAGCCCUGUCUCGUCUCCUGCCCUUUGUCAUCACUCCAAAACCUCAAGCCAAUGCCUCUGAAAUAUUUCCUGCAAAAUUCAGGGACCUUUGUGUGGCUUCAAACUGUCUGCAUCACUGUGAAAGAUGUACUUAUAAACUUCUAACUGCU